CUAUUGUGAACUGUGCAUGUGAGGGAUGUAGGCUGUACACUAUUUAUGAGAAUCUAAUGCCUUAGGAUCUGUCACUGCCUCUCAUCACCCCCAGAUGGGAACAUUUAGUUGCAGGAAAUCAAUCCCAGUGCUCUCACUGAUUCUACAAUAUGGAGAGAGUAUCUGAAAAAAUCACCACCUUUAUCUUCAGAAUAUGUCCUUAAAGGCAUCAGGACAACCCUCUGAAGGAAGCAGACUGCUCCUGCAGGACCUGACAGACACCCCAAAUACAGUGAGUGCCACCACUGCAGAAGUGGGAAAGGGAGACUCUCUUCUCCUGAACACAACGACCCCACUGGAGAAACUGAAAGUCUGUUUGUGGGAGAAGCUCCUUACUACCUGGAGGUGUGAGACCCCAAGCCAGGAGAGACCCAUGACCUCAGGUGCCAUCAGGAGAACUUAAACCUGAAGAAGGGAUCAGCUAUCCCACAACCCAGUGCCCCUCCCAGACAGCACAACAGAAUCUAAGGGGCUACAGGAUGAUUCCAGGAACAGUGCACUACAGGACCACGUUGCAGGAAUCGUGCCUUGGAUUCACCACAGUUGGCUGAAACUGGUAGCCCAAGACAAGUGGACCAGCCAGAAGGACCCAGGCCAUCCAACCCAGCUGAUCCUAUGAUGGGACCGAGGUGCCAAUGAAGACUACAACAGCCCUGCUCUGGUCACUUCAGAAGCUGACCAGUCUACACACGGUGGAAGCUUGAGGAAACAACAGCCCUGUUCUAGUCACCCCAGAAGCUGACUCGUCUAUGUACGGCCAAAGCUCGAGGCAUCAUCAGGAAAGUAAAAGUGGUUAGAAAUCUUACGUCUGGAAACUUUCCUUGUAAUAUUAAUUGUUUUACUAUUGUCCUGUUGCUUUGCUCAACCUCCUCCUCUAGGAAAGGACCUCUUCUCUCCAUGCUAGGUAUAAACAUGUUAUUCAUUACUUUUGCUAUUCCCUUUAACCACGUUAAAGGGAGAAUCCUUAGAAGGAUGCCCCCACUGCACUGACAAUACGUAGACAGGAAGCACCAUGACUAGAACCCUGUUCUACCACUUAUUAUAGGUAUGCAGGGACCCAUUGAGGAACUUGUACACACAACCAGAUAACCUACUCAAUCUGCAACCCAGGAAGUGGCCAGCCUUAUAUAUGUUAUGACCCAAAGUCCUUACCUAGAACCUAGUUGGAGGUUCAUGUCAGGUCAAAAGAAAUAAAAGGGGAAUAACCAUAAAGAAUUAAAGAUAAUGAAUGGCCACCUGAAAGAAUAAUGCAAUACUAUGGCCCAGCCACAUGGGCAGAUGGAUCAUGGAGAUACCGCACCCCUAUUUACAUGCUAAAUCACAUCAUAUGGUUGCAGGCAGUACUGGAGAUCAUUACGAAUGAUACUGCAAGAGCCUUAAAUUUGCUGGCUCGGAAAUCUACAGAAAUGAGAAAUGCCGUUUAUCAAAAUAGACUGGCUUUAGACUACCUCCUAGCCCAAGAGGGAGGAGUAUGUAGAAAGUUCAGCCUAACUAAUUGCUGUCUAAAAAUCGAUGACAACGGAAAGGUCGUCAAACAAAAAGCUGCAAGAAUCCAAAAAUUAGCCCAUAUUCCAGUCAAGACUUAGAAAGGAUGGUCUCCAGAUUCCCUCUUCAGGGGUUAGUUCUCAUCCCUUGCAGAAUUUAAAACCUUAGUAAGAAUAGUUCUAGCCAUAUUAGGAGUCUGCCUCAUACUCCCUUGUCUCUUACCCCUCCUUGUCAAAAACAUCUAAAUGGCCACAGAGGCUCUUGUAACCAGGCAAACUACUACACAACUAAUGACCCUAACUAAAUAUCAGCCUUUGCCAAAUGAAGAAAACUUGCCUUUUCAUGAAAAAUUAAGUCAUAGUGAUGCUAUUAAACGUCAUUUAUAAAAAGCGUCAAAGGGGGAAAUGAAGUAGAGGAUGUAAAGAAAACUAGUCCUUAUCCCCUCUCCUCCCAUAGAGCAAUGAUGGGAAAAACAAUUUUUCCUCCUCUCCUAGCUUCCUCCUCCCCUUAGUAAUCCUUCCUUAGUGAAACUCAAGGUUACUUCACAACAACUCCAGUUUCUCUGUUCUGGAUAACAUGACAAGGUUACAAGACGAGCUUGAGUAAGACAUGUACCAGCUGCAAGGCCUGCUUUAGUUUGAUAAAUUCAUGUUUCCCUUCCAGUGAAGCUGCAAGGUCAGCAUAACCUGUCACUGUUUGAUUAACUGCCUCUGUUCUGCUUCUGUGAGCCUGCUUACUUGCACCACGAGCUUUGCGCCACUAGAUGGCCCAUGCAUGUAUAAAAGACAAGCCCUGUCUUAGUCCAAGGCUCAGCUUUUUGGAUGCGAAUCCAUUGUGCCAGGGUGCACCUUAAUAAAAUCCUCCAGUUUCACCUACUGGGUGUCUCCUGCCUCCUAUUUUCUCUAACAAAACCACAUAUAAAAUAAAAGUCUAUAUUAAAUGUAAAUAUACAAAUAUAGAAGUCUUUACUAUCAUAAUAAUGAUGCAUAAAACCCUUAAAGCUCCUC
rnacentral:lncRNA from 10 species